UGUCGGUAUCCUGACCGUGCUAAGGUAGCGUAAUCACUUGCUCCUUAAUUAGGGGCUAGAAUGAAAGGAUUUACAAAAAUAAACUUUUUUUUAUUUUUAUAUAAAAUUUAAUCUAUGAAUGCAAAACUUCAUAUAACUUAGCAAGACCAAAAGACCCUGAUGAGCUUAAGUAACUUAUUUAAUAAUUUUAAAUUAUUACUUUAAAUUGGGGCGAUUUAAGAUAAUUUUCAUCUUUACAAUAUCUAAAUUAUUAUUAUACCUAGAAUAUAUUAAAUAAAGUUACCACAGGGAUAACAGGCUACUCAAUUUUAAAAGUUCACAUUUACAAAUUGUCUUGGCACCUCGAUGUUGGCUUAGG
rnacentral:rRNA from 1 species